AUUGAACGCUGGCGGCGUGCCUAACACAUGCAAGUCGCACGCGAAAGGGAGCAAUCCCGAGUAGAGUGGCGGACGGGUGAGUAACGCGUAGGAAUCUACCUAGUAGUGGGGGACAACCCGGCGAAAGCCGGGCUAAUACCGCAUACGACCUAAGGGUGAAAGCCGGGGAUCGCAAGACCUGGCGCUAUUAGAUGAGCCUGCGUCCGAUUAGCUAGUUGGUGAGGUAACGGCUCACCAAGGCAACGAUCGGUAACUGGUUUGAGAGAACGACCAGUCACACUGGGACUGAGACACGGCCCAGACUCCUACGGGAGGCAGCAGUGGGGAAUCUUGGACAAUGGGGGCAACCCUGAUCCAGCGACGCCGCGUGUGUG
rnacentral:rRNA from 1 species